rnacentral:rRNA from 1 species
GAUGAACGCUAGCGGCAGGCCUAAUACAUGCAAGUCGGACGGGAUUGAGAAGCUUGCUUUUCAUGAGAGUGGCGCACGGGUGCGUAACACGUAUGUAACCUACCUUCAUCAGGGGGAUAGCCUCUCGAAAGAGAGAUUAACACCGCAUAAAAUCACAGUACAGCAUUGUACAAUGAUCAAAUAUUUAUAGGAUGAAGAUGGGCAUGCGGGACAUUAGCUAGAUGGUGAGGUAACGGCUCACCAUGGCGAUGAUGUCUAGGGGAUCUGAGAGGAUGGCCCCCCGCACUGGUACUGAGACACGGACCAGACUCCUACGGGAGGCAGCAGUAAGGAAUAUUGGUCAAUGGACGGAAGUCUGAACCAGCCAUGCCGCGUGCAGGAAGACGGCCCUACGGGUUGUAAACUGCUUUUGUACGGGAAUAAACCUCUUUACGUGUAAAGAGCUGAAUGUACUGUAAGAAUAAGGAUCGGCUAACUCCGUGCCAGCCGCCGCGGUAA